UUUUAGCCGCAAUAGUAGUGGCAUCCUUUUGUAGUUUCGUUUUUUUACGAGACCACAAAAGAUAAAACGGAUAGCGGGGCACGAG
rnacentral:sRNA from 1 species